CAGGAUGGGCUCGCGUCUGAUUAGCUAGUUGGUGAGGUAAUGGCUCACCAAGGCUUCGAUCAGUAGCCGACCUGAGAGGGUGAACGGCCACACUGGAACUGAGACACGGUCCAGACUCCUACGGGAGGCAGCAGUGGGGAAUAUUGCACAAUGGGCGCAAGCCUGAUGCAGCAACGCCGCGUGAGUGAAGAAGGCCUUCGGGUCGUAAAACUCUGUCCUAAGGGAAGAAGAAGUGACGGUACCUUAGGAGGAAGCCCCGGCUAGCUAGGUGCCAGCAGCCGCGGUAAUACGUAGGGGGCAAGCGUUAUCCGGAAUCACUGGGCGUAAAGGGUGCGUAGGCGGCUGAUCAAGCCAGGGGUGAAAGGCUGUGGCUUAACCAUGGUAAGCCUUUGGAACUGGUCAGCUUGAGUGCAGGAGAGGAAAGCGGAAUUCCUAGUGUAGCGGUGAAAUGCGUAGAUAUUAGGAGGAACACCCGUGGCGAAGGCGGCUUUCUGGACUGUAACUGACGCUGAGGCACGAAAGCGUGGGGAGCAAACAGGAUUAGAUACCCUGGUAGUCCACGCUGUAAACGAUGAAUACUAGGUGUCGGGGGUCAAAGCCCGGUGCCGCAGCUAACGCAUUAAGUAUUCCGCCUGGGGAGUACGGUCGCAAGACUGAAACUCAAAGGAAUUUGACGGGGACCCGCACAAGCAGCGGAGCAUGUGGUUUUAUUCGAAGCAACGCGGAGAACCCUUACCAGGUCUUGACAUCCCUCUGACUGGCGCUUAGCAGCGCAGUUUCCUUCGGGACAGAGGAGACAGGUGG
rnacentral:rRNA from 1 species